rfam:Oryza glaberrima chromosome 8 Oglab08_0012_13, whole genome shotgun sequence.
AAUAAGUGCAACCGUGGAAAUCCGUGUCCAACGUUUGACCGUCCGUCUUAUUUAAAAAAAUUAUAAUUUUUUUUAAAAAAAUAGUCACACAUAAAGUACUAUUCAUGUUUUAUCAUCUAAUAACAAUAAAUAUAGUAAUCAUAAAAUUUUUUCAAAUAAGACGAACGAUCAAACGUUGAAGAUGAAUAGUGCAAAACUGUACUUAUU